GUGAGAUGCUGACAGGAGAACAAUAAUGCGGUGUGCGUUGAGUGAGCUUUGUGGAAUAAGCUGUGCAAACAGGAGAACCUCGGCCUGGUGUCUGUGCGUAUGGUGACCAGUAAAUGGUACACGCAGUUUCAAGUCUACUUUGCUCGCAUAAUAGCGAGUAGUGAAUCCACACUGGUUUGCAGCAACAAGCAACGCUGAUGCUGGCGAGAGUGUGCACAGCUAUUAGUCAUCCACACUGGUAUAACUUUAUUGGUUCGUCUAAUUCAUCUUGGCUGGUCUUAAAAACGAGGAUUGCCUUCGUCUGUCCAAGCCACUGUUUUUCCUGGAAUUAACUAUUUCGUUUUAUUUCAAUUAAUGUAUGUAUGUGCCUCGGGAACCUACCACAUCUGUUGAAUGUUUACUGGGAACCUAGGUGGGCCUAGGGGGACGCCUGCUGGUGGUAACCUGUUAUCUUAAAUGUUUUGUUUGUUUCUCUGUCUGCCAGUCAUUGUAAUACGUGUUCGGCCUGGGAAUGGUGCAAUAUUUCUUAUGGGGACAGUGCUUCGUUUGCAGUGCUCACUAGUGUGAAGUGUGAAACGCCGUGUCUGUGUACGGCCCAUUUGGUGUGAAGUGCCUCUUGCAGAUUGGAGUGUUUUUAGA